UUGACCAAAACAUGGCCGUAAUGGUAGGAGAUAUUGGCGAUCCUGAAAUAAACACUGACGUGAGUUUUAUGGGAAUUUGAGAAGACCCGUUCCCCAACUCUGAACGGUCUCUCUUGAGGAAUUUAAGCCUUUUAUACGUUUUAUCCCCCAAGCUAAAUUGUUCGCCACCAAUUAACUAAUUGCGUUGAAAUUGGUUAUGGUUCAAUAAGUCGAUGAACCCUUGUAAGUUUUACGUUCGUCUACUAUUGUUUAUUCCCACCUACGCUUCGAACGUUAACGAUGCUAGACAUUAGUAUCCUCGCAGAUUGAAUGGAUCUCGGCCAAUGAUGGACCACACUGAGCUUACACAAUUUGCUCUCAAACAACUUUUCUACCAGGUGAAACAAGGUUUCCCCGAAGUACCUGACGCAGUUGUCAAUGACUGCAUCAGAAAGGCUGGUUACAACAGACGAGCUGCAGAGGCCCUGCUGCAGAAAGAAGCCCCCAAGUAUGGACGGUUUCCCCUCGUCAAGAAAAUGCCUCAGGGUCCCCCCAAAAGCCUGUCGGCAGGGAAUUCACCACUUGAUGGUGGACACAAACCCCUCGUUGACUGCCUGACACCAACCAAAGUUCCUCCGCCACUGCCAGUCACUCCCCCAGUGGGUGCAGCUGCCUCUACCGGUCCUAGUCCACCGAUCUACACGUCCCCACUCUACCGACCCGAUAUCGACUUGUCUCUGCCGCCUCCAGACCUCACUGGCGGACGAGGGGCCUCGUCCCAAGUCCAGGUCUUUUGCGAUCAGCCGAGAUCGUCCACGUCAGUCAACGUUAUCCUGCAACCUGACACUGUUCCUUACGUCACCUACUCGUCGGCCUCGACGGACCACCACCGAGGGUUGCACUCUCAACUGAAAAUCACAAUCAGUCCUCAAGGAGGAACAGUUUCGGCCGUCCAGCGGUCAAACAUACUCUCCCCAUGGCACUACGGUGUGGGACCGACCCCGAAUUCCGGCAGCAUAAACUGUCUGCAGAGCCAACAGCAGCCUUCGAUGUCUUCGGUUAGUCUACCGGACCAGGCGGAGCACAUCAGGGAGCAAUGCGAACGGCGGGAGUCUUUGCGUCGAUCCCUGGCCGAGGAUCGCCAACGGCUGACCUCGCUGAGCCAGAAAGUCGAACGCCUUCAAGAAGAAUUGACCAAAGAGAAACAGCUCCUGGACACCAAUAAUCUACCCCGAAGAGAACCGAUCCAGCAACCGCAGCAGCUACCACCUGCUGUCCGGUUCCCUCAUUUCCCGCAUCCAAUCCAGCGCCAACAAGCCGUUGUUGAUUUGGAACAUCUCAAAGGCGAAGUCCGCAAUUUGGAACAGGAGUGCCAGCGGAUGUGCCAAGAGCUGUUCACUCGACAGAGCGACAACAACAUCCGGAAUCCGCCUUCGACUCCGUCGACUCCUCACUCGGCCGGCACUCCAACUUUCCACAACGGGACUCCGCCUCCUCUGGUUGCCACCGUGACGGAGGAGGACGACGAGUCGGACGGCUGGAACUGCAGCCGUUGCACCUUCCAGAACCACCCGGCGCUGAGCAAGUGCGAGGAGUGCGAUUCGCCUCGGCCGCCACCCGGCCAGCCGGGCCACUCGUCUUCUCCUUCGUCGUCGUCGCCCAUCGUGACCUCUUCGACCCAACAAGCUGGAGCUGGCCAGGGGUGAUGGCCGUCCGCAGCUUUAUACCGUACAGUCGCAGGCCGGGAAACAUUCACAUCCACGUCCGUCACCGUCCGCGAACGAUCCAAGGGUGGGGUGUCUAAAA
rnacentral:misc_RNA from 1 species